rnacentral:rRNA from 1 species
CCUACGGGAGGCAGCAGUGGGGAAUAUUGGACAAUGGGCGCAAGCCUGAUCCAGCCAUACCGCGUGUGUGAAGAAGGCCUUUUGGUUGUAAAGCACUUUAAGCGAGGAGGAGGCUCUUGAGGUUAAUACCCUUGAUGAGUGGACGUUACUCGCAGAAUAAGCACCGGCUAACUCUGUGCCAGCAGCCGCGGUAAUACAGAGGGUGCGAGCGUUAAUCGGAAUUACUGGGCGUAAAGCGCGCGUAGGCGGCUUGUUAAGUCGGAUGUGAAAUCCCCGGGCUCAACCUGGGCACUGCAUUCGAUACUGGCAAGCUAGAGUAUGGGAGAGGAAGGUAGAAUUCCAGGUGUAGCGGUGAAAUGCGUAGAGAUCUGGAGGAAUACCGAUGGCGAAGGCAGCCUUCUGGCCUAAUACUGACGCUGAGGUGCGAAAGCAUGGGGAGCAAACAGGAUUAGAUACCCUGGUAGUCCAUGCCGUAAACGAUGUCAACUAGCCGUUGGGACCUUGAGUUCUUUAGUGGCGCAGCUACGCGAGUAAGUUAGACCGCCGUGGGAGGUACGGUCGCGACGACGUAAACCGUACGAAAGUAGAAGUUAGACGGCGUUGGAGGACGUUAGCCGACGGACGACGACGAGGGAGGUAGGG